UACGGAGGGUGCAAGCGUUAAUCGGAAUUACUGGGCGUAAAGCGUACGUAGGCGGUCUAUUAAGUCAGAUGUGAAAGCCCCGGGCUUAACCUGGGAACUGCAUUUGAUACUGGUAAACUAGAGUAUGGUAGAGGGGGGUAGAAUUCAUAGUGUAGCGGUGAAAUGCGUAGAUAUUAUGAGGAAUACCAGUGGCGAAGGCGGCCCCCUGGACCAAUACUGACGCUGAGGUACGAAAGCGUGGGGAGCGAACAGGAUUAGAUACCCCUGUA
rnacentral:rRNA from 1 species